rnacentral:rRNA from 1 species
GACGAACGCUGGCGGCGUGCUUAACACAUGAAAGUCGAACGGUAAGGCCCUUCGGGGUACACGAGUGGCGAACGGGUGAGUAACACGUGGGUGAUCUGCCCUGCACUUCGGGAUAAGCCUGGGAAACUGGGUCUAAUACCGGAUAGGACCACUGCCUGCAGGGGUGGUGGUUGAAAGCUUUUGCGGUGGGGGAUGGGCCCGCGGCCUAUCAGCUUUAUGGUGGGGUGAUGGCCUACCAAGGCGACGACGGGUAGCCCGCCUGAGAGGGUGACCGGCGACACUGGGAAUGAGAUACGGCCCAGACUCCUACGGGAGGCAGCAGUGGGGAAUAUUGGACAAUGGGCGCAAGCAUGCUGCAGCGACGCAGCUUGAGGGAUGACGGCCUUCGGGUUGUAAACCUCUUUCAGCACCGACGAAGCGCAAGUGACGGUAGGUGCAGAAGAAGGACCGGCCAACUACGUGCCAGCCGCCGCAGUAA